rnacentral:tRNA from 1 species
GCGCCCGUAGCUCAGUUGGAUAGAGUACCUGGCUACGAACCAGGUGGUCGGAAGUUCGAAUCUUUCCGGGCGCG